rnacentral:rRNA from 1 species
AUACGAAGGGUGCAAGCGUUACUCGGAAUUACUGGGCGUAAAGCGUGCGUAGGUGGUUGUUUAAGUCUGUCGUGAAAGCCCUGGGCUCAACCUGGGAAUGGCGAUGGAAACUGGGCGACUAGAGUGUGGCAGAGGGUAGUGGAAUUCCUGGUGUAGUAGUGAAAUGCGUAGAGAUCAGGAGGAACAUCCGUGGCGAAGGCGACUGCCUGGGCCAACACUGACACUGAGGCACGAAAGCGUGGGGAGCAAACAGGAUUAGAUACCCUGGUAGUCCACGCCCUAAACGAUGCGAACUGGAUGUUGGGUGCAAUUUGGCACGCAGUAUCGAAGCUAACGCGUUAAGUUAGCCGCCUGGGGAGUACGGUCGCAAGACUGAAACUCAAAGGAAUUGACGGGG